UUCCUUUAGCUUAACAUAUCAAAAGCGUAUCUCUGAAGAAGAUAAAAUUAUAGGAAAAU
rnacentral:tRNA from 1 species